rnacentral:tmRNA from 2 species
GUAGUUGGCUUGGCGACGCGGUGGAGCUAGGAGGAAUCGGCGUUUUCACUGUCGGCGAACUAUGGGAACCCUAAUGUAAAGUUCGGUACCCGGCGCCUCCACCAAAGCCCUGAUGAGACAGGGUUUCGGCGGGGGCGAAAUAGGAUCGACGAGGGUGUAAAGGUUGUCCUUUUGCUCGGCAUGGUUCCGCCGUUAUCGGGCCAAAGCAUAGUUGCCAACGACAACAAUGCUCGGGUUGCCGUCGCCGCGUAAGCGGUGCUGGUUCCCAAACCAAAGCCCUUGCGCUUAGCCGCGUAAGGCGGGGCUCGGAGGCGCCUGGCAACAGAAGCCUCCACU